CUUUGUCAAGCCCGGGUUGAGGUCAGGAUUAUUUGGGAUUCACAGCAGAAGCUUCAGUGACACUUGCAGAAUGGAGGAAAAAUAAAUCCUUGAACAGGCUGGAGGCACAAAGGCAAUGCUUUAUGGUGAGCACCUAUAGAAUUUACUUUUAGGUGGCUCCUGGUCUGUGAAUUUGGAGGUAAUAAU
rnacentral:lncRNA from 1 species